AUACGGAGGAUCCGAGCGUUAUCCGGAAUUAUUGGGUUUAAAGGGUGCGCAGGCGGCCAUUUAAGUCAGCGGUUAAAUCGUGGGGCUCAACCCCAUUCUGCCGUUGAUACUGGGUGGCUUGAUUGCGGUCGAGGUUGGCGGAAUUCGUUGUGUAGCGGUGAAAUGCAUAGAUAUGACGAAGAACACCGAUUGCGUAGGCAGCUGACCAGACCGCAAAUGACGCUCAUGCACGAAAGUGCGGGGAUCGAACAGGAUUAGAUACCCUGGUAGUCCGCACAGUAAACGAUGAAUACUUGUUUUCGGCGAUAUAAUGUCGGAGGCAAAGCGAAAGCGAUAAGUAUUCCACCUGGGGAGUACGCCGGCAACGGUGAAACUCAAAUGAAUUGACGGGG
rnacentral:rRNA from 1 species